AUUAAUAUUUAGGAAAAAGUGAAAAAAAAAACAAAAUGUUAAAAAAGCGCGAACUUUUAAAUUUGGGACGAAAAAAGCAUGAACUUUCGAAAUGUCAUUUAAAUCACAAAGUUUCGUUUGACUUUUUAAAAAAAUUGUCAAGUUUCGUUGACUUGGCCAUUUUGGGCACGUCGUUAAAUUUCUGUUAACGACAUUAACUUUCUGUUACAGAUUUCUGUUAAAUCGAAACGACGUCGUUUUUAGAUCUCCAAAACGACGUCGUUUCAUUAGAAAAUAAUGAUGCAAAAUCCGCGUCCACAAUGGCUCGAACAUAUGACCUAUUGGACUCAUAUGGGGCAAUAUACCGCUGAGCUACGACAAUAAUUUACAAUAAUAACAAACAUUGCAUACAUAUACUAACCAAUA
rnacentral:sRNA from 1 species